UGGGGAAUCUUGCGCAAUGGGCGAAAGCCUGACGCAGCAACGCCGCGUGGAGGACGAAGGCUUUCUGAGUUGUAAACUCCUUUCAGCAGGGACGAUUGUGACGGUACCUGCAGAAGAAGCACCGGCCAACUACGUGCCAGCAGCCGCGGUGAUACGUAGGGUGCAAGCGUUGUCCGGAUUUAUUGGGCGUAAAGAGCUCGUAGGCGGUUUGAUUAGUCGGGUGUGAAACCUCCAGGCUUAACCUGGAGCCGCCACUCGAUACUGUCAUGACUAGAAUUCGGUAGGGGACCACGGAAUUCCUGGUGUAGCGGUGAAAUGCGUAGAUAUCUGAAGGAACACCAGUGGCGAAAGCGGCUUCCUGGUCCAGUACCGACGUUCAGGCACGAAAGCGUGGGGAGCAAACAGGAUUAGAUACCCUGGUAGUCCACGCCAUAAACGAUGAGAACUAGACGUUGGGGGGGUAAGCCUCUCAGUGUCGCAGCUAACGCGCUAAGUUCUCCGCCUGGGGAGUACGGCCGCAAGGUUG
rnacentral:rRNA from 1 species